UGGGGAAUUUUGCACAAUGGGGGAAACCCUGAUGCAGCGACGCCGCGUGAUUUAGAAGGCCUUCGGGUUGUAAAAAUCUUUUUUACGGGAUGAAAAUGACAGUACCGUAAGAAUAAGGUCCGGCUAAAUACGUGCCAGCAGCCGCGGUAAUACGUAUGGACCGAGCGUUGUCCGGAAUCAUUGGGCGUAAAGGGUACGUAGGCGGCCUAGUAAGUUAGAAGUGAAAUAAUAUAGCUCAACUAUAUAAAGCUUUUAAAACUGCUAGGCUUGAGAGAUGGAAGGGAAAGUGGAAUUCCUAGUGUAGCGGUGACAUGCGCCGAUAUUAGGAAGGAUCUCGGUGGCGAAGGCGCCUUUCUGGUCAUCAUCUGACGCUGAGGUACGAAAGCGUGGGUAGCAAACAGG
rnacentral:rRNA from 1 species